UCCUACGGGGGGCUGCAGUCGAGAAUCUUCGGCAAUGGGGGAAACCCUGACCGAGCGACGUCGCGUGGUGGAUGAAGGCCUUCGGGUUGUAAACACCUGUUGGGGGGGAACAAUAACGAGUGAACCCCUGAGGAAGCACGGGCUAAGUUCGUGCCAGCAGCCGCGGUAAGACGAACCGUGCAAACGUUACUCGGAAUCACUGGGCGUAAAGCGCACGUAGGCGGCGACAUAAGUUAGAGGUGAAAUCCCAUCGGCUCAACCGUGGAACUGCCUCUAAUACUGUGUUGCUUGAGGGAGAACGGGGCAUUCGGAACUUCCGGUGGAGCGGUGAAAUGUGUUGAUAUCGGAAGGAACGCCGGUGGCGAAAGCGGAAUGCUGGGUCUCUUCUGACGCUGAGGUGCGAAAGCUAGGGUAGCGAACGGGAUUAGAUACCCUGGUAGUCA
rnacentral:rRNA from 1 species